UACGGAGGGGGGCUAGCGCUGCUCGGAAUCACUGGCGUAAAGCGCACGUAGGCGGAUUGUUAAGUCAGGGGUGAAAUCCUGGAGCUCAACUCCAGAACUGCCUUUGAUACUGGCGAUCUCGAGUCCCGGGAGAGGUGAGUGGAACUGCGAGUGUAGAGGUGAAAUUCGUAGAUAUUCGCAAGAACACCAGUGGCGAAGGCGGCUCACUGGCCCAUUACUGACGCUGAGGCACGAAAGCGUGGGGAGCAAACAGG
rnacentral:rRNA from 1 species